UCCCACCCAAGGUUCCUGAUGGGAGUACACGCAGGAGGCCUGAGAAUCUGCAUUCCCAAUAAGUUCCCAAAAGGAUGUUGUUGGUCCUUGGACACACCUUGGGUAGUCUGGAUGAGAUGGGAGAGAAGGCCAGGUGCAUCUGCAGGGGGCCAUGGGGGGCCCUGGGAACUGAUUUUCUCCAGCUGUCACCUGGCCUGUGGACAGCCAGCCACACCAGCCCAUGUUCUGUGAGACUCCGCCAUCUACUGGAUGCAUCUAUCCCAUGCUGGAACUGGGGCGGUGCUAUAUUUAGGGCCUGAUUGAAGGAGGAACUUUCAGAGGUGAAGUCCUUCCCAUCACGCUGAGGGGGUAGGGGAACAGCCUUUGUAACAUCUGGGCCAUCUGCCCCUUCAGAUGACUCAGUUUCCAGUACGGAUGUUGGUGCCUGAAUUAACCUAGGAAAAUGAAAACAACAUGCACUUGCAAGCAUGUGAAGUAAGUUUUCACCAAACUGCUACUCUUUUUAGCUUUUAAAAACUCAGUAUCCAGUUAUUUUAAUGUACUAAAUGCAAAUGUUGGUGGUAACAUUUAAAUGGAAAAUGAUUGUGUAUCUUUAUGAAGUUUUCCUACAGGUACUCUAUAGGUGGUUGCAUAAAGCGUGUUUAAAAUGUGAUGAUUCACUUAUCAAACUAAGAAAAAAAAAAAAAACCAAACCAAUAGCACUGUUGGCAAGCAUGUGCUGACACAGAUAUGCUUGUACAUUUAGUGGGAGUGUGACCCAAAAGUAAGUUGACACCAGUUUUUACACUGUGGGGUGGUGGUUCGAGUGCAGCCUCUGGAACUGGGCUAGACCUAGGUUUCACUUCUGGCCUGGGGAGAAUCUGUGUUACGUUGAUCAAGGCACUUUCUUUUUCUGGUAUGAAUUUCUUCAACCAGAAAUGAGGAACUGGAAGAUGGUCGAUGUAUCUCAAACUUUAUUUUUUUAAUUUAAUUUUAAUUUAAAAAAAUAGAUUUUUAGGGGAUCCCUGGGUGGCUCAGAGGUUUGGCGCCUGCCUUUGGCCCAGGGCGUGAUCCUGGGGUCCCGGGAUCGAGUCCCAUGUCGGGCUCCCAGGAUGGAGCCUGCUUCUCUCUCUGCCUGUGUCUCUGCCUCUCUCUCUCUCUAUGUCUAUCAUAAGUAAGUAAGUAAGUAAGUAAGUAAAUAAAUAAAUAAAUCUUUUAAAAAAAUAGAUUUUUAUUAGAGUGCCUGGGUGUCUCAGUCAAUUAAGCGUCUGCCUUCUGCUCAGGUCAUGAUCCAAUGUCAUGGGAUUGAGCCCCAUGUAGGGCUUCCUGCUCAGGGGGAGCCUGCUUCUCCCCCUCCGUCUGCUGUUCCCCCUGCUUUUUUUUUUAAGAUUUUAUUUAUUUAUUCAUGAGAGACACAGAGAGAGAGGCAGAGACAUAGGCAGAGGGAGAAGCAGGCUCCCCGCGGGGAGCCCGAUGUGGGAAUCGAUCCCAGGACCUGAUCAUGACCUGAGCUGAAGGCAGACGCUCAACCACUGAGCCACCCAGGCGCCCCUCCCCCUGCUUUUUUUGAGAACACAAGUAGGAUCCCGAAGAAGCUAGAUCCCAGGACCCUGAGAUCAUGACCUGAGCCCAGGUCAGACACAACCGACUGAGCCACCCAGGCGCCUGGGUGUUUCUCAAACUUUAACUUCAUCAGAUAAUCACCAGGGAGGAGGGAAGAGCUCAAAAUACAGAGAUGCUGACUUGACAGGUCCAGGUGGGCCUGACAGUCCACAUUUCUUAGCCAGCUCCCUUGUCACCUAUGAGACACCUUGGUCACAUGCCCCUCCAAGCCUUAGCUUCCUUACCUGGGAAUCUUCAAAGGGUGAUCGCAGGUAUUAUAUGAGACGGUGCUAUACAACGCUGUUGUUGCUCUCAUGAAUCUUAAACAUGCUUAUAGCAUUUGAAACAGUAAUUAACUUGUAGAAAUCUAUUUUAAGAAAUUCAUCAUAAGAUCAAAGAUGAUCAGAGAUGGUUACAUUGGUAUUAUUUAUGAUAGUGAGAACCCAGAGGCACUCUAAACAUCCAAUAAUAGAGGAAUUAUUUCAUACAUUAUGAUACGUCAUGUGUUGAAAUGCAGCUAUUACAAGUUUUUAUUUAUUUAUUUAUUUUAUUAUUACAAGUUUAAAAAAAAAUCACAAUGACUUUGGAAAAUGCUCACAAUAUAAUAUUAAAAGAAAAGAGCAAAAGGCUUGGACAUUGAGAGAUGCCCUCCACAUGUUAAAUAUAUGAAGAGGUGCUCAACAAAGAUGGGGGUGGGAGGUAGGGUUAUUCUUAAGGUUUUCAGGGGUUAGGGCCCUCUUUAAGAAUCUGAUAGA
rnacentral:lncRNA from 1 species